UUUUUAUAACUUCUUAAGAGAUGAUCCCCUCUUCGCCACUCCCACUCCUUUCAGCCCUACAUCAUUUCUCAUCUUAGUCACCAUAGUAUGCUUCUAACUCAUCUCCCUGUCCAGAUUGGAAAACAUUUCUGAACAUACUCCACAUUACUGACAGCGAUCAUCUAAAAGCACCCCUUUUUGAAAACACUAAUAAUGAAAUCCAAAUCCCAUAGCAUACCAUACAAAGUCCUAUUACUGGCCUACAUUUCCAGCCUAAUUUCGAGAACUAUUUGUAGUUCCCCUAACUCAUCAUACUACUUCCAAUGUCCACACUUUUGCUUAGAAAGCCUUUCCCUGUUUCUCACCUAGUCAAAAGGUGACUUUAUUUCUUUAAAGACUCAACACACAUAUCAGGGAUUCUGAGCUCUGGCAUUUCUAGACUCUGUAAAAUGAUUUUUCUUUGAACUCCAGAGUACCUUGUACAUACCUCCAUUGUAGAGAAUACCAUACUGUUGUAUUUAUACAUGUACGUAGAUGUUGAUCUCUCUCACUAGAUUGAGAACUCCUUGAGGACAGGGACUGUGUCUAAUUAAUCUCCAUAUUCCCAUUACCCAGCACAGUGCCUGGCAGCUCAAAUGACAGUAGAGAGGAGAGAUGCUGAAUAUGCAGGAGUGAGAAUAAAGCAAUGUACUUGAGUAAUGGUACAAUACAAAUAUGCUGAAUGAAUUGAAGCUAUAGAAAAACAUAUUUUGGCUCAAUAUUGUAAAGAGGUCUCAAAAGAAGGGGCAAGAUAUCUCAAGAAC